rnacentral:rRNA from 1 species
GUCCACGCCGUAAACGAUGAGAACUAGAUGUCGGGAGGGAUUAGCCUCUCGGUGUCGUAGCUAACGCGCUAAGUUCUCCGCCUGGGGAGUACGGCCGCAAGGUUGAAACUCAAAGGAAUUGACGGGGACCCCGCACAAGCGGUGGAGCAUGUGGUUUAAUUCGAUGCAACGCGAAGAACCUUACCUGGUCUUGACAUCCUCGGAACCCUGCAGCGAUGCGGGGGUGCCUUCGGGAGCCGAGAGACAGGUGCUGCAUGGCUGUCGU